rnacentral:ribozyme from 2 species
UCCUAAUGCAGCCACCGUAAGGUGAUGGUCACAAGCCCAUAAAAAUGCAGAGUGGGAG